GUACUGAUGAGGAGUCCCACAACAGGACGAAACGGCCGUCCAGUGC
rnacentral:hammerhead_ribozyme from 1 species